CAAGGAUUUCAUCAGUUGUGUUAAAGGAGGACGUUACAAUUGCCUCUGCAGACGGCGUGGGCACCGGUGGUCCUCGUCUGCUUCUUGUCCUACAGUGACUGCGAAUUCACUUACAUACAACUAUGCUCUCCACACAUGCUGAAACUGGGGAUCUAAACAUAAAACACGGUCCCUGCUCCCCUGGGGGAGCACACAGUCAGACUGGGAAACGCAGAGAUAAUCAUCAGAGGAUGGGUACGCACCACAGCAGAGAUAGUAAGAGGGGCUGCAAAGCAGCCAGAAGAUGUGUGCGACCCAGCGUGAGGUCACUGGACUUGACCUCAUUUCCUUUUUAAUGAGAAGGUGAGGCUGAAGCCAUAGGCCAAGCAGGAAGCCUGCUGCCACAACCCAGGUUCUUCCGGAGCGUGAGACCGAACCCCAAGGCAACGACCAUCCGCUCUGACAUCACAGGAGCCGGCCAGCUGCCUCCCUCCUGACUCACGACUUCAUCUUCCCCGAGGUCAAGGAGAAGCAAGUGGCACCCUCACCAGCCUCCACCACGGCCCUUACACCUGCCGUCUGGUUUGGGUGGGAACGGGGAGCAGCCUCGGGCUUCAAAUCCCUGUCGUUGGCGGUGGGAAACUCUCAGAGCCUCAGUUUCCUCGUCUACAGGAUAUUCCGACCAAUAAGCAGCCUAUAAAGUUGAUAGUGUGUGUCCCAAAGGGAAAGGCCCCAGAGAGGGCCCUGCCAGGCCUGGGCUGGGUUCGACAUCCACCCCGCUGAUCCUUGGAACCACGGAACGGGUGCGCCCCCUGCCCCGGGGACUCCAGGGACAGAAUGCCGCUAUUGAUAACCCCAUUAGAACCACUGGAUUGGGGGAAGAAUGGACCCCAAAGGAACAGCGUCAGCAGACUGGUGAUAGUCGGAAAAAGAGCCCAUAUUAGUGAAGGAUGCAAAUAAGCAUAAAAAGGGAAAAUUGUGCAGUGAGGUAACGAGGACCCAAAGGAGAGAGCAGCAGAGUCUCUGAGGGUCUUCGGGAGGAAAUGAUGAAACACUCACCUAAUUACCACCCAUCAGAGCAUCUGCCUCCCAGCGUUCACAGUUUAAUUUGAAAAUGAUGAGAGCUCUGGUCUGUUGCUAAUUCGAUUCCCAAGAAGAUUACAAAGCUUCAAAAUCAGAAACAUCUGGACAGCAAGCUUCUGCGGUCCGUUUCCUACAGGACAAGUCAUAAAGGCUCGGCCAAAGUCUCAACUGAACUCUUCGUAUUUGAGUUAAAGAAGUUUUCCAUUUCUUCGUUUUAAAAUACUCUGGCAAAUACUUUGUGAAUUGUCUGCAUUUUGACUUGAAUUAGUGUUCCCAACUGCCAGUUGCUCUGAUUCUGCAAUUAAAUGCAUCCAUCCAACACUUUCAUGUUUCUGUCAUCUCUAGACCAGUUAGAUACGCAGGGAAGAGCAAUACAAACACAUUUUUAUCUAGUCGCUUGUCUCCUAAUCCCUUCCCAACAUGGAUUUUAAGGCUUUUGCAGAGAAAUAGGAAACACAUUGUACCAACUUUCUAUAAAAGCACAAAAGUCCCCAAAGACUUAAGGAUUGCAAUCAACUUUGGCACCCUAUUUAGUGCCAUGGAGCUAGCGGUUGAUGACUUUAUACUUUGGGGUGGAAAUAGGAGUUUAUUUUCAAAAUAGAGCUCCUCAUUACGCCAGUUGAACAGACUGCUGAGCAUGGACACUUGCUCUGAGGACAGAGGUCUAGCAACAAAUUCCGAAUCUCUCGUUCAUUCUGACCGCGGUGUCCAUCACAGUGUCGGGCCUUCUCUAUGCGGGGAUCCUGGGGCACCUCCAGCUCAGCAUGUCUGAA
ensembl:lncRNA